GACGAACGCUGGCGGCGUGCUUAACACAUGCAAGUCGAACGGAGUGGCGAACGGGUGAGUAACACGUGGGUGAUCUGCCUUGCACUUCGGGAUAAUCUUGGGAAACUGGGUCUAAUACCGGAUAGUGCAAGAUGAGCUCGCGGCCUAUCAGCUUGUUGGUGGGGUAAUGGCCUACCAAGGCGUCGCCGGGUAGCCGGCCUGGGAGGGGAUACUGAGCCAUGGGGACUGGGAGACGGCACAGACUCAUACGGGAGGCAGCAGUGGGGAAUAUUGCACAGCGGGCGGAAGGCUGAUGCAGCGACGCCGCGUGGGGGAUGAAGGCCUUCGGGUUGUAAACUCCUUUCGACAGGGACGCGGUACCUGUAUAAGAAGCACCGGCUAACUACGUGCCAGCAGCCGCGGUAAUUC
rnacentral:rRNA from 1 species